rnacentral:rRNA from 1 species
AACGAACGCUGGCGGCAGGCCUAACACAUGCAAGUCGAACGCCCUAGCAAUAGGGAGUGGCAGACGGGUGAGUAACGCGUGGGAACCUUCCCAUUGGUACGGAAUAGCCCAGGGAAACUUGGAGUAAUACCGUAUAAGCCCGAAAGGGGAAAGAUUUAUCGCCGAUGGAUGGGCCCGCGUAGGAUUAGCUAGUUGGUGAGGUAACGGCUCACCAAGGCGACGAUCCUUAGCUGGUCUGAGAGGACGACCAGCCACACUGGGACUGAGACACGGCCCAGACUCCUACGGGAGGCAGCAGUGGGGAAUAUUGGACAAGGGGCGCAAGCCUGAUCCAGCAAUGCCGCGUGAGUGAUGAAGGCCUUCGGGUUGUAAAGCUCUUUUACCUGCGACGAUGAUGACGGUAGCAGGAGAAUAAGCCCCGGCUAACUUCGUGCCAGCAGCCGCCGUAAAAC